GGGCCUGUGGUCUAGUGGUACGACGCAGCAUUCGCAUUGCUGAAACGGGAGUCCGAUUCUCCCCAGGUCCACCA
rnacentral:tRNA from 1 species